AACGAACGCUGGCGGCAUGCCUAACACAUGCAAGUCGAACGAGACCUUCGGGUCUAGUGGCGCACGGGUGCGUAACGCGUGGGAACCUGCCCUUAGGUUCGGAAUAACUCCCCGAAAGGGGUGCUAAUACCGGAUAAUGUCUUCGGACCAAAGAUUUAUCGCCUUUGGAUGGGCCCGCGUUGGAUUAGCUAGUUGGUAGGGUAAAAGCCUACCAAGGCGACGAUCCAUAGCUGGUCUGAGAGGAUGAUCAGCCACACUGGGACUAAGACACGGCCCAGACUCCUACGGGAGGCAGCAGUGGGGAAUAUUGGACAAUGGGCGAAAGCCUGAUCCAGCAAUGCCGCGUGAGUGAUGAAGGCCUUAGGGUUGUAAAGCUCUUUUACCCGGGAUGAUAAUGACAGUACCGGGAGAAUAAGCUCCGGCUAACUCCG
rnacentral:rRNA from 1 species